rnacentral:rRNA from 1 species
CUGGCUCAGGACGAACGCUGGCGGCGUGCCUAAUACAUGCAAGUCGAGCGGAUCUGUUCCUUCGGGGAUAGGUUAGCGGCGGACGGGUGAGUAACACGUAGGCAACCUGCCUGUAAGAUCGGGAUAACUACCGGAAACGGUAGCUAAGACCGGAUAGCUGGUU